AUGGGCGCUGGCCUCUUUGUCUAUCUUGAUCAAACUAUCCAAGAACCCUCCAAAACCAUCACAACCAACAACACCGAUGGGAAGGAUCAGGUUGUCCCAAAUCCUGCCUACUCCCCAUGGCUUAUUCAAGAUCAGCAAAUAGUUGCAUAUCUUCUCCGAAACCUAUCCAAAGAAGUUCUCAUCCAAGUCGCCUCCCUUGAGACAUCACAUGCAAUCUGGGAUGCACUGGCGAACAUGUUUGCCGAUGUGUCCCUAUCUAGCGUUAACAACAUCCGAGCCUCUCUCACGAACGCGCAGAAGGGAUCCCAGUCAGCUUUGGCCUACUUCGGGUACAUGAGGUCUCUCUUCGACGAGCUCGCGGCGGCGGGCAGACCGCUCGGGGAGGGAGAACUCAUCUCCUCCAUCGUUGCUGGACCCGACAUGGAGUAUCAACCGAUUGUCUCUGCGCUGCAUGUGCGUAUGGAGCCUACCACCGUCGACGCCCUCUUCUCUCUUGUGGCCAACUUCGACUAG
rnacentral:rRNA from 1 species